GACAGAGGCCUCAAGCGUUAGGCGGAAUCACUGGGCUUAAAGCGUGUGUAGGCGGAUCGUUAAGUGUCUUGUGAAAUCCCACGGCUCACCCGUGGAACUGCUGGGCAUACUGGCGAUCUUGGGCCAACUAGGGGCAACUGGAACAAGCGGUGGAGCGGUGAAAUGCGUAGAUAUCGCUUGGAACGCCAAAGGUGAAAAUAGGUUGCUGGGGUUGUGCCGACGCUGAGACACGAAAGCCAGGGGAGCAAACGGG
rnacentral:rRNA from 1 species